UGGAAAUAAAGUGAGUUUUAAUGCUUGAUAAUGGCACGCAAUGAAGGAAUUUAAAAUAGCAUUAAUCAACGUCGCUUCCUUGCCUCCAGUCAAGUUUAAUGCUUGAUAAUGGCACGAAAUUUCGCCCACCUCCAACUAAGCUUAGUCCACCUCCAGUCAAGCAUCAACACAGCCUUCACCUUUUACUGUGGCAGCUCAGGUCCACCUCCACUCUUACCAUUGGGUUAGGAGUUUGGGUGAAGCCCCAGAAGUAUAGGAGUACAAAGGAAAGCUUGGAGAAGUCAAGAGACAGAGA
rnacentral:misc_RNA from 1 species